UGAACAUUGUGAUAAAGUUAUCGAGAGCCCCAAAAUUAUCCGAAAAGUCGUAGGAUCUUCGUGAAUCGAUUAGAUUUCUAGUAGCAAUAUUUGUAUCAGCUCGAAUUUUAUCUGACAGCUAUACAUUUUAUUUCUUUUUGGAUUCAAUUUCUACAAAAUGACAAGGAGCGACGCAAAGUCAUUUUUUUUGGUUUUCACUUUAUUUGCCAAUUUUUUGUUUAUUUCUGUGCAAGUUGCAUCAUGUCAACCAGAUGAAGAUAAUAAUGUGAAUUGUGUUAACUGCAAAAACUGUAAAAAUUGCAGGAAUUGUACAAACUGCGUGAAUUGUGAAGAUUGUACGGAUUGUACGAAUUGCAGUAAUAGUAGUGGUUGUAGAAACUGUACAAAUUGUAGAAAUUGUACAAAUUGUAGAAAUUGUACAAACUGCUUCAAUUGUGAAAAUUGUACUGAUUGUACAAAGUGCAGCGAUAGUAGACGUUGUACUUCUUGUACGGAUUGUAAAAAUUGUAUAAAUUGCAUUAAUUGUACAUCAUGCAGAGGAUGUGCAGGAUGUAGAAUCUGUACAUCUUGUAAAGACUGUAUUGAAUGUACAAGUUGUACAAGUUGUAAAAAUACUCAAAAUUGUACAAGUAAAACAAAUUUCCAUGAUCAGACUUGCUUUUAGUUAUGCAGACCCCCUGGCACAUUAUUGGAUUGUAGAAAUUGUAGAAAUUUUAUAAAUUGUAACAAUACUAUACACAAUGCGCACAUUUUAUAAAUUCAAGAACUUCAACAAAAUUUUACCAAAAAAUAAUGCAAUUUUAAACGGCACAUCUUACUGCAAGGACAAAUUUUUGUCGUCUUUCUUCAAAUAUUGUUAGACCAACAUUUUGGAUUCAAGACUUAAGGCUCAGAUGCACCAAA